GCGAGGUGGCUCAAUGGGUGAUCAGGUCUGAGGGUUAGUGGGUCAGUGGUUUAGUGGUGCAGUGGAUAAGUGGUGUAGUGGAUAAGUGGUGUAGUCGAUUAGUGGCACAGUAGUUUCAUGGUGCAGUGGUUUAGUAGUGCAGUGCAAUUAGCAAGCGGAAUCGCAACAUGAGUUAAGCUUUUUGUAUAUCGGCAAGAAACUAGGUCUGUGAAAGCGCUUCCAGCACUAUGUGCAAAGGUUUCAACUUAUUUUCUUGAAUUGGAUUCUUUCCUCCUCUUCAAACGCUUCAUACUAACUUCCUAAUUGACAAGAGACAGGGUCAGAGUGGAAGCUACUUUCAGUGUAUUAAUCAUCGGCAAAAAACGAGCAUAAUGAAAGCUGUUUUACUUCAUUUUUUACCACUGUCCACCAAGUCCUACCAUCAAGGAAAAUCUGUGUUUUAAAGGUACCAAUAUAGUUGGAUCACGGUGAUGUGCAUUGAUUUGAAUGAUGAAGAAACCCGCCUUAUUGCUAUGUACCUUGCAGUCUCACUUUAAUGGUACUCCUUUACAAUAGGACGUAAAAAUUUC